CAGCCGCCGCGGGAAUACGUAGGUCCCGAGCGUUGUCCGGAUUUAUUGGGCGUAAAGCGAGCGCAGGCGGUUAGAUAAGUCUGAAGUUAAAGGCUGUGGCUUAACCAUAGUACGCUUUGGAAACUGUUUAACUUGAGUGCAAGAGGGGAGAGUGGAAUUCCAUGUGUAGCGGUGAAAUGCGUAGAUAUCGAUCGGAACACCCAUGGCGAAGGCAGCUCGCUGGCCUAUAACUGACGCUGAGGCGCGAAAGCGUGGGGAGCAAACAGGAUUAGAUACCCGAGUAGUCCCUGUCUCUUAUACA
rnacentral:rRNA from 1 species